rnacentral:misc_RNA from 1 species
GUGAGUCAUCGAAUCUUUGAACGCACAUUGCGCCCUUUGGUAUUCCGAAGGGCAUGCCUGUUCGAGCGUCAUUUCAAACUUCAAGCCCAGCUUGGUGUUGGGACCGGUCCCUCGGACCUUCCCGCAACGCGUUGGCGGUGCCGCCCGGCUUCGAGCGUAGCAAGAUUUUCCCUCGCUACGGAGCCUGACGGUCCCGCCGAAAGCACCCAAAGUUUGACCUCGGAUCAGGUAGGGAUACCCGCUGAACUUAAGCAUAUCAAUAAGCGGAGGA